rnacentral:rRNA from 1 species
UACGAGGGGUGCAAGCGUUGCUCGGAAUUAUUGGGCGUAAAGGGUAGGUAGGUGGUCUCAUUUGUCUGGGGUGAAAUCCUUGAGCUUAACUCAAGAACUGCCCCAGAAACGGUGAGACUCGAGUACUGGAGAGGGUCGUGGAAUUCCCGGUGUAGCGGUGAAAUGCGUAGAGAUCAUGAGGAAGACCAGUGGCGAAGGCGGGUCUCUGGACAGUUCCUGACACUGAGGCGCGAAGGCCAGGGGAGCAAACGGG